AACAAUCUUCGGCAACCCGCUCAGGUCCCCUUCCACACUGUGGAAGCUUUGUUCUUUCCCUCUUCACGAUGUCUUGCUGCUGCUCAAAAAAAAAAUGAAAAUAAUAAAAAAUAAAUAAAUCUUAAGCAUUUGAGCUAAAUCCAGAGAUGGAAAACAUAUUCUGUAGCUAUGGUUUUAUUUUUGACUACAUGUGGAGCUCAGAAUGAAGAUGUAUAUUGAACAAACUACUAGAGGACACACUAAAAUUCCUCCUGGUUGUUGUUAUAGUAUAAUGAAUGCCCGCAGCUCAGAACACAUUAUAAUGUUCCUCUGAAAUAUUUCCUGUCAUGAAAUAUAUUUUAGAAUCAUGUUAUCUUAGGUCAUUUAGGCUGUUAUGACAAAACACCACAAACAGAGUGUCUGAUAAACAACAGAAAUUUAUUUUUCACAGUCCUGGAGCUUAAGUCUACAAUCAAGGCACCAGCAGAUUUUGUGUCUGGUGAGAGCUCAUACUUCAUACAUAGAUGGUGUUUUCUUGUUGUGUCCUCACACAGCAGAAACAGGAAUCAAGCAGCUCUGGGUCUCUUCUAUAAAGACUGUUUGCUGCUGCUUGCAUCUCCUCCUUUCAAACAUAAGGGUAAUGUAUAUUUGAGAAAUGUACAAGACUUUUUUGUCUAAGAAAAAAGGGAAAAUCGAACUCUUUCUCCAAAAGAAAACAAAAACAUUGGCAUCAGAAAAUAACAUGUUGCUGUGACUACAUAUUCAAAUUGGAAACGAAGUUAUCAGCUUAUUCUGGUACUGCAAUCAAAAUGAAUAUAAAGAAAUUACACACAUUCUAAUAGCUUCAGUGUCCUCUACGUACAUUUUAUGCAGUAUGAGCAAUUUUUUCUGAUUACUUUUUUCCCAUUGUAAAAAUUUAUGUGAGAAAAAAAAACAACUUGCUCUUACUAUAAAAAUCAAAAUAGAGAAAUAGUAAAACUUAGUGGGAAACUUAUGUCUUUUGAGGACAGACAGACUUGAUCUUGACUCAUAUGUGGACCAAUCUUGAGGUAGUGACCUUGGGCUAGUAAUUAAACCUCUUUGAAUUUUAUUUUUCUCAUCUAUUACAUUGGGCUAGUAAUACCUACAUCUUACAGCUAUAGUGAAGUAUUGUGAGGAUUAAAUGUGUUGAACUUGCUUGGUAUGCCUGAUAGAUUUAAUGUG
rnacentral:lncRNA from 1 species